UAUUUACCAAUGCACCCUUUCAAAUGGAAUCAGUAAUACAGCAAAAGACAUAUAUCCUUUUUCCUAUUUACUGGGAUAGGGUUCCAAAUAGGGGUCAUUUCUCUAGUUUCUCAGCUCAGGUAACAUUCAUCAUCCAAAAGAUUAAACAUCCUUUUAUCCAUAACCACUGGACUCAGUGGUAUACCUAUGGCUGAACCCUCCCUUUCCUCUCCUUGCUUGGGGGAGCCUGCCUGGACGUAACAAUUAUGACUUAAAGAAUGAAAGCAAGGAGAAGGGGGACAAGAGAUUGUUAAAUUCCAUACCUACUAAUGUGGAGCUAUGUUUUUAGAGAGAAAGAUCCUUUAUUUUAUGACUUCCUCUUCCUCUCCCCUACCCCCACUAAGUGCCUCUUUACCAACGUUUCUUACCUGGUCAUAUUCCGUACAAGCAUUCGGUAUGCAGUUGGUGCUGAACAGAAGACUGUGAUGGGAAACUUGGAAAGUGUCUGCAAUUUAGAAGAUAAUUGACUUUCCAGAUGUGAAAUAUCUUAAGUCAUGUUGUCUACUCUGAUUUCUGCAAGUUACUUUAUUCAUCAGUCCUGUCAGGGACGCUGCUAAAGCAUUCCUAAAUGGUGACCUCUUGUGCUCUGCCUUACUUGCAAGAUGGAAGUUGGCUCAAAACGUGGCAAAUAAUGUGCAAAUACACAUGCUCCCUGGAUCCAUGGAGAAAAGACGCUACUCCACGCCGACUUUGCCCAGCCUGUGUCUGAGGUAUUCCACAUCACAUCUGAAGGAGUCAAAUCCAGCCAGAACCUGGGAAAACAAAGAAUGGUCCUGAUAUAUAUAAGGAAAACAAAUUUAAAAGACCAAUAAAUGAAUCAUCCCCUCUGUAGUUUUGACACGUCAAUCUGGAGUUUUGUGAAGGUGUGGUUGUCACUGGCGUGUCUACAAAGGAAGAACUACAAUGAUUCUGCACAUUGCACGUGGCAUCAUAAACUGUUACCACAGAAAAGAAUUCAAGAAACCAUCUAUGUGGACCUCUUCACCUCAUGGAUCAGGCCCCAAUGACUUAGGUUGAGUUCCAAGGUAAAAGUCAUCUCUUACUCCAUCUCCUUAGGUGCUUUCUGGAAUUAAACUAAAUUUUGUCAUCAAAGCCCAUUUAUAAUAGUUGGCUUC